rnacentral:rRNA from 1 species
CAGCCGCCGCGGGAAAACGAAGGGUGCAAGCGUUAAUCGGAAUUACUGGGCGUAAAGGGCGUGUAGGCGGCCUGGGGCGUCCCAUGUGAAAGGCCACGGCUCAACCGUGGAGGAGCGUGGGAUACGCUCAGGCUAGAGGGUGGGAGAGGGUGGUGGAAUUCCCGGAGUAGCGGUGAAAUGCGCAGAUACCGGGAGGAACGCCGAUGGCGAAGGCAGCCACCUGGUCCACUUCUGACGCUGAGGCGCGAAAGCGUGGGGAGCAAACCGGAUUAGAUACCCCCGUAGUCCCUGUCUCUUAUAC